AUUGAACGCUGGCGGCAUGCCUUACACAUGCAAGUCGAACGGUAACGGGCCUUCGGGCGCCGACGAGUGGCGAACGGGUGAGUAAUGCAUCGGAACGUACCUUUCAGUGGGGGAUAACGUAGCGAAAGUUACGCUAAUACCGCAUAUUCUGUGAGCAGGAAAGCAGGGGAUCGCAAGACCUUGCGCUGAUUGAGCGGCCGAUGUCAGAUUAGCUAGUUGGUGAGGUAAAGGCUCACCAAGGCGACGAUCUGUAGCGGGUCUGAGAGGAUGAUCCGCCACACUGGAACUGAGACACGGUCCAGACUCCUACGGGAGGCAGCAGUGGGGAAUUUUGGACAAUGGGGGCAACCCUGAUCCAGCCAUGCCGCGUGAGUGAAGAAGGCCUUCGGUGUAAGACUCUUCGGUCCGGGAACGGAAAUACGUAUGGGCGUAAUACCCUCGUGCGGAGUGACGGUACCGGCGA
rnacentral:rRNA from 1 species